UACGGAGGGUGCAAGCGUUGCUCGGAAUCAUUGGGCGUAAAGCGCACGUAGGCGGCGCGUUAAGUCGGGUGUGAAAGCCCUGGGCUCAACCCAGGAAGUGCAUUCGAAACUGGCGCGCUUGAAUAUGGAAGAGGGUCGCGGAAUUCCCGGUGUAGAGGUGAAAUUCGUAGAUAUCGGGAGGAACACCAGUGGCGAAGGCGGCGACCUGGGCCAAUAUUGACGCUGAGGUGCGAAAGCGUGGGGAGCAAACAGG
rnacentral:rRNA from 1 species